GCCAACAGGUUAAAAAACUUCCUAUCCCAAUUUGAAGGAACCAAUGGCAUCAGUCAAGAUCGAGAAACCUGUUAAAGAGGCCACGAAACCUUCGGCUCCCAAAUCUUCUGCCGCCAAACCGUCCAAAGCAGCCCCUAAAAAGGCGACACAACCUCGUGAACCUAGGAAGAAGUCAUCAGGUCCAAAGAAUGCAGCCACCCCAAAGAAAUAAGGACAAGGCGGAGUAGCAGUGAAAGACGUAGUGUGCUUGCUUUUGCUUGUAAUCUCAUCGUUUCUGUCUUCUGAAUGAAAUAAAUACCUGUCUCCAAAUUGCUUACAAUCUUAUUGAGAAUUGAGUAAAUUACAAAU